CAAUAGCGUAUAUUAAAGUUGUUGCGGUUAAAAAGCUCGUAGUUGGAGUUCUGCCAGGUGCCGCCUGUCCGCCCCAGUGGUGAGUACGUGGCGCGCAUUUGGCCCUUUCAAGGGGAGCGUAUCUGCACUUUAUUGUGUGGUGCGGGAUCCUUGACUUUUACUUUGAGGAAAUAGGAGUGUUCCAAGCAGGCUCUCGUCGUGCACAGCUCAGCAUGGAAUAAUAGCAUUGGACCUCGAUUCUAUGCUGUUGGUUGCCAGAAGCGAGGUAAUGAUGAAGAGGGAUAGUUGGGGGCAUUCGUAUUUAACUGUCAGAGGUGAAAUUCUUGGAUUUGUUAAAGACGGACUGCUGCGAAAGCAUCUGCCAUGGAUGUUUUCAUUGA
rnacentral:rRNA from 1 species